AUAGAAAACAUAACAAUAUUCUUACCUGUAUGCUAGGCAAUCAUCCAUGAUGUUUUAUCCUCGUUAAAUUUUUAUCCUCAUCCUUGCCUUCAAAUACUCAUUUAUUUAUUUUUUUUAUUUAUUUAGCUUUGCCAACUAGGGCAGGGUCACCACAACAGCAUAUGCCAAUUACUGUGGGCCCUUUUUUACCUAACCCACCCUGUCAACUUUCCCUGUGGGAGGAAACCGGAGUACCCGGGGAAAACCCACGGCUUUCGGCAGAGCGUUGACUUUUACUCUUUUCACAUGGGGACUGGGUUCGAGUCGCACUGAGAAGGUACUUAGUGAGAC